AGUGAACGCUGGCGGUAGGCCUAACACAUGCGAGUCGAACGGCAGCACAGUAAGAGCUUGCUCUUACGGGUGGCGAGUGGCGGACGGGUGAGGAAUACAUCGGAAUCUACUUUUUCGUGGGGGAUAACGUAGGGAAACUUACGCUAAUACCGCAUACGACCUACGGGUGAAAGCAGGGGAUCUUCGGACCUUGCGCGAUUGAAUGAGCCGAUGUCGGAUUAGCUAGUUGGAGGGGUAAAGGCCCACCAAGGCGACGAUCCGUAGCUGGUCUGAGAGGAUGAUCAGCCACACUGGAACUGAGACACGGUCCAGACUCCUACGGGAGGCAGCAGUGGGGAAUAUUGGACAAUGGGCGCAAGCCUGAUCCAGCCAUACCGCGUGGGUGAAGAAGGCCUUCGGGUUGUAAAGCCCUUUUGUUGGGAAAGAAAAGCAGCAGGUUAAUACCCCGCUGUUCUGACGGUACCCAAAGAAUAAGCACCGGCUAACUUCGUG
rnacentral:rRNA from 1 species